UACGUAGGUGGCGAGCGUUGUCCGGAUUUACUGGGCGUAAAGAGCGCGCAGGCGGUCGUUCAAGUCGCGUGUGAAAGCCCCCCGGCUCAACUGGGGAGGGUCACGCGAUACUGAUCGACUCGAAGGCAGGAGAGGGUAGUGGAAUUCCCGGUGUAGUGGUGAAAUGCGUAGAUAUCGGGAGGAACACCAGUGGCGAAGGCGGCGACCUGGGCCAAUACUGACGCUGAGGUGCGGAAAGCGUGGGAGCAAACAGGGAUUAAGAAACCCUUGG
rnacentral:rRNA from 1 species